ensembl:lincRNA 4930524O08Rik RIKEN cDNA 4930524O08 gene
UGUAAGCCUGCUUCCGGUAAAAGGCCCUGGCGAAAAUCACACGCAGUUAGUGGCAUCGCCAAGGGAACAUUGCCCAUCAUGUCUCUUUGGGCCUCCUGAUGCUCCACUCGAUGUGAGAAUAUGAGGAUCAAUCAAGAGAAGAGACUAACCUCGAGACAGAGCACUAAAUCGAGCAGAAAACAGGAAGGCCUGUGUUGGGCCUCCAUUUGCGUAAACCUACAGACGCCAUCAACUCCUCCAACGGCCAAGGCCGUUUCUGACCACAAGGGGGCGCCCGCAUCAUGCUUUAAUAUAGUACGUGCUUGGGAUGUUGAGAGCGUGGAAGACUGCAGUCUCAAAAUACAGAUAGGGAAACUGAGGCCAGGAGAAAGCAAAGGGUUCCUAAGUCAUUCUGGGUAAUUUUCUUCUCUGUGAUCUUCACUCCCAUUAAAUUGAGUCAUGGCUUCCACCAAGGAAUACGUUUUACGGAUAUUCCUCCGACACCCGGAUGAGGAAUGCUACUUGCAGACCGCCCCACAAGAGGGAGCACCUGUGAGCCUCUGAGCCCUAUACCCACCACGAGCCUUAGACAGAAUGAGCUUCCUACAAGAUUUUGAUCCAGGGAUUCUGGCUGGGAUGUGGAAAUUGCUAGUCUAGGUAGUCUCAGAGGAGACCCACCAUCCAGAAGCUUCCCAGAUCUAAUCCAGAAAUGUCUGCCGCUUCCAACAGCUAGAGAAGCCUCCGUGAAAAAUUCUGCAGGCAACAAGGGUUUUAAAACCAAGUCACCACUUCAGUGAACCAAGUCGUUCACUUCAGACAGUACUGUCACAAGGCCAAGACAGUCAUCAGGGAUUGUCACUCAGAGUAACGCUGCUAUUUACUCUGCUUGUCCCAAUUAUCCAUCACUGUUUACAAGCAAAGAAAAUGACUGUGAUGUCAACUCGGACAACCUAGAAUGAGCUGGGAAGAAGGUUUUAAUGAGGAAUUAUUUAGAUUGGCCUGGGGCUAUGAAGGAGUUUCGUAAUUGGGUGAAUUGAGUUGGGAAGACCAACUCAUGUAGAAAGCAGGAGGCACCAUUUAUGGGGUAGGUCCAGGAAUGAAUGGGUAGAGAGAGGGCUAAGCACUGUCUUACACGCAAUUAUUGUUUUAUCUGUUUCUGUUUAGGGAUGUAAGGGGACAAGCUGCUGCUGUUGUAGUUACCCUGCCGUGAUGACCUGUGAACCCUUUCUCCCCUAGCUUGCAUUUGUCGGGUACAAUGAGGUUCAUGGUGUUUAAGAGAGAUGUUCUCAGGGAUAAAAUUACUUCAUUCCCCAGUUUCUCUAGAGAACCCUCACAUAAAAAGCAGGAACUGGUGGGUACCUGCAGAGCAGACAUCCCAGACUCUUCCAGCGGCUCAGUGACUGCCUCACUGUUUGCACAUGUCCCGGCUCUCCACUUAUGCCCAGUUCUUCAUCCUUACCACCAGGAACUCUGUAGACAUUCCCAGAUCUGUUUCCUUGGCAUGAGUCAGCCUCCCAGAGACAGCCGGGGCCAGCCUGGUGACUGCAUAGGGCAGAAGGCUGCCCAGGAUUUGUGCCUUCACCGUGGCAAGGUGACAAGGAGAUUCCUGAGAAGGCACAUGGCACAUAUGUGUGCACAUGCAUCUGGAAGCCAGAACUCAAUGGGCUCCUUCAUUGCUCUCCUCUGAGUAUUUUUAAAACAAACUCUGUCACGGAACCAGUGUAAAACUGCCUUGUCCACAAGCCCCUGGAAUCCACGCGUCUCUGCUUCCCCAGCCCUAGAAUCACAGAGAACACCACUGCAGCCAGCUGGUUAGAGGUAUAGACUGUUGCUAUCUAGAAUCAGAAGCUGUGGCAUACUGCAACUGUUUCCAUAGUUCCUGGAGGCUACUUUGUAUCCAUCUUGUUCAUCAAACCCUCAGCUCCUGCUUCACCGUAAGGAGCAAAGGAGAGAAUGGCUGAACUCCUUUGAACUCUUCAAGAUCCUGUUGUCAAUGUCUACAAGGGUUCUACCAAACCCCACCUCUUAAAGCUUCCACCAGAAGCUGAAGGCCAAGCCUUUGGCACAGGGGCCUUUGGAGAAUGCUUCUCUAAGCCAAAGCAGUGACUUACUUCAACUCAGACCAUUUAUCAGUGACACAACCUGGGUUCACACUCACUUGACUCCAUUUAAAAGGACAAGUACUGACUCAAGGGAACUCUAGAGACCCUGAUGGGAAGAGGUGAGGGCCCUCUGGUCUCCAGGGCCCCUGGAAUGGAUUGAUAUUGGCUAGAUAUCCCUCGGGUUCAAAGUGAGAUACUGUUUCCAGGCAAGAAGCAGAGCCUUUUCUGGUAAUUAUAUAUUCUCUGGAGUGGUUUGGGGUUGACAAGCCUGAGGUUCUCCAUCACAGAGUAUCUUUCCCCAAAGAUAUUAUGGCCAUGUUUGAGGCUCCAUGGGAGUCUGUACUGAGCCUGGCUUGCACAAGACAGGUCAAUACAGAGGCAUAGCAUCAACCUAUCUUCCUUGCAUGGAGGACAACCAAAGGAAGUUAUUGCACAGCACUGAUGAAUAUACAUGGAUGAGAUCACAUGUACAGGAAGUGUCAUGAGAGGAGAUACACAGUCCCAUCUAUGAUAUGCAAACAACACAGAGGAGCAAUGACCCUCAGAGGGAGUGUGGAAAUAUAAACUAAGCACAAGUGUCCAGAGCUGAUAAACUCACUUUAAACAUGAUUCGGGUUAGGACGUGGAGUCCCCACAAGUGGGAUUAAAGAGCAACCUUUAC